rnacentral:rRNA from 1 species
GACGUAGGGCGCGAGCGUUGUCCGGAUUCAUUGGGCGUAAAGAGCUCGUAGGCGGUUUGGCAAGUCGGGUGUGAAAUCUCCGGGCUCAACUCGGAGAGGCCACUCGAUACUGCUAUGACUAGAGUCCGGUAGGGGACUAUGGAAUUCCUGGUGUAGCGGUGGAAUGCGCAGAUAUCAGGAGGAACACCGAUGGCGAAGGCAGCUCGCUGGGACGGUACUGACGCUGAGACGCGAAAGCGUGGGGAGCGAACAGG